rnacentral:rRNA from 1 species
GUCCACGCCGUAAACGAUGGUCACUAGGUGUCAGCGGUAUCGACCCCGCUGGUGCCGCAGCUAAUGCAGUAAGUGACCCGCCUGGGGAGUACGGCCGCAAGGUUGAAACUCAAAGGAAUUGACGGGGGCCCCGCACAAGCGGUGGAGCAUGGGGAUUAAUUCGUCACUAACCGAAGAACCUUACCAGGGUUUGACAUCCGCGGUAAGUCCGUGAAAGCGGUACCCUCCGGAGCAAUCCGGACCGCGAGACAGGUGUUGCAUGGCUGUCGU